GACGAACGCUGGCGGCGUGCUUAACACAUGCAAGUCGAACGGAAAGGCCCUGCUUUUGUGGGGUGCUCGAGUGGCGAACGGGUGAGUAACACGAGAGUAACCUGCCCUUGACUUUGGGAUAACUUCAGGAAACUGGGGCUAAUACCGGAUAGGAGCUCCUGCUGCAUGGUGGGGGUUGGAAAGUUUCGGCGGUUGGGGAUGGACUCGCGGCUUAUCAGCUUGUUGGUGGGGUAGUGGCUUACCAAGGCUUUGACGGGUAGCCGGCCUGAGAGGGUGACCGGCCACAUUGGGACUGAGAUACGGCCCAGACUCCUACGGGAGGCAGCAGUGGGGGAUAUUGCACAAUGGGCGGAAGCCUGAUGCAGCAACGCCGCGUGCGGGAUGACGGCCUUCGGGUUGUAAACCGCUUUCGCCUGUGACGAAGCGUGAGUGACGGUAAUGGGUAAAGAAGCACCGGCUAACUACGUG
rnacentral:rRNA from 1 species